rnacentral:lncRNA from 13 species
CAAAAUCAUCUUUAACCAGUUCCAGCAAAGAAUCUGGGAUUUGCUCACCACUCAUAGUGUUCUGUCUCCCUGUGCAUCCUUGCUGGUAUUUUAACCUUCCACCUACCUAGCACCAGUCACACUGGAUUAAAAAAAUAUUUUUUUAUCCUUUUCUUCCGUGAUACAGCCAUCUUAUUGUAUUAGAAAAAAGAUUAACUACUAACUAUAUCUGACUGCUGCACAAUUAUAUAGCACCAGAGGUGACUUAGGCAGGAAAAUGUUAGAAAGUUCUCCUUUGUAACCAUUUAAACCUAAAUUUUUCAUGCUUAAGGGAGAGAAACAAAUAGGUCUUAACCAAGUAUAAAUUCUGGAGCGUAGAUGGAAGUUUUUAGUGUAAGCAUGGUGAGCUAUAGGGCAACUCCCAACAUGACUGAUGAAGGGAUCUGAUUGUCAGGUGGAAGAGAUCACUUGGUGAACCUCCUUGGAUGGUGUGGUUGUGUGCAGGAGCAGGGCAGACAUGGUGAUGAGCUUGGUGAUAAUGGCAGUUCCUUCUCUGUCACUGUGCAGGUGCUAUGACAACAGCCUCUAAAAGCCACUGUGCCUGACUGGCUGUGGUGCUCAGUGCUGCGGAAGGUGCCGGGGGAGGUGGGGAGGUGAAAAGGUUUCUCUUUAACUCUGAACUAAGCACUAGGCACAAAACUGUUCUGUUGAUUCAAGAUGCUGUAACAUCCUGACAUGGAUGAAAUUUGACCUGGCCAAGAGUGAGAACAAGGCUCCCCAUCACAUACGGGAAGGUGAAGCGUUCAGGCAGCUUGGCAGAAACUCAAGGGAACAGAAGAAUUAAGUGUAUUUUUUUUGGUGAAGUUUUGAGAUCCCUGUACAAAGUUUUGGAUUUGAGUAGCCACAGUACGUCUGAAUUGAUCAUUUACCACCAGCAUCAUCUCUGUUUUGGAUAUCUUUGA